UACAGAGGGUGCGAGCGUUGUUCGGAAUUACUGGGCGUAAAGCGCGCGCAGGCGGCUCUUUAAGUCUGAUGGUCAAAUGCCGGGGCUCAACCCCGUGCCCGCCAGGGAUACUGGAGAGCUGGAGACACGUAGAGGCAAGCGGAAUUCCGGGUGUAGCGGUGGAAUGCGUAGAGAUCAGGCAGAACACCUGGGGCGAAGGCGGCCAGCUGGGCCGUCCCUGACGCUGAGGCGCGAAGGCGUGGGGAGCGAACGGG
rnacentral:rRNA from 1 species